UUCCAGCAGCCGCGGUAAUACGGAGGGGGUUAGCGUUGUUCGGAAUUACUGGGCGUAGAGCGUGUAGGCGGCUUGGUAAGUCUGCUGUGAAACCUUGGGGCUCAACCCCAAGCGUGCAGUGGAUACUGUCAAGCUAGAGGAUGGUAGAGGCCAGUGGAAUUCCCAGUGUAGCGGUGAAAUGCGCAGAUAUUGGGAGGAACACCAGUAGCGAAGGCGGCUGGCUGGGCCAUUCCUGACGCUGAGACGCGAAAGCAUGGGGAGCGAACAGGAUUAGAUA
rnacentral:rRNA from 1 species